CUACUUACCUUUCUUCUCUUUGUCAUUUAGACAGUUGGUAUAUAAUCCUUUCAUAAUUUAUCUUGAUAUACAGAUAGAUGACGUUUGACUGCUGCAACUGGUGCUCAUCUGGGAUCUAGAGGCAGAUAUCUGAGGAUCUGUGAAAGUCAUCAUCAAUAAGAUUAAGGCCGAUUUCUCAACAGAAGUUAUGGAGGCUCUCCAGCAACAACUUCAUUAUCUCUGUAGGCUCAUUCAACUCUCCAAACUCAGAGCCUACCUUUUUCUUCUUUCUUCUUGAAAUCUUAUCCAUUUGCAUGACUUUAUACCUCCUCUGCAUACAGAUGACUCUUCCCAUCUCAUUUCAACUCCUUCCUCCCUGUAUUCCAGAUAGACAAGCCACUUUUCAAUUCCCCUUGCCAGAUGCCAUGUAUUUGUUGGUCCAAUAAAUGAUGUACUAGAAUAUACAGCGGUUCUUGUCGGGUGUAUACGUCUGUGGUUGUUGAUAUCUUUGAUGUAUUUUUACUUGAUAAGAAUUGCAAGUGUAUAUAGAUACAGAGUUCCACAGUCAAAUAAAAAAUCAGAUGUGUCAUAUACUCGUUUGCUCUGUCAGCUUGGAAGCCUUAAGAGAAAUGACAACCCAGUAGCAAAGAACACACUUAGUAGUCAGAUCUUGGUUUCCAAUGUCAUUCUCCAUAAAAGAAACCAGUGACAUUUGUAGAAAUGGCUGAUUCUAUGGUGGAGCAAGAAAUACACACGAGUCUGGAGCAUUUCGUAGUGCCAGAGUAAGGACGUGCUGGGAAAAAAAGAAAAAGAAACAAAAUACAUUAA
rnacentral:lncRNA from 1 species